rnacentral:rRNA from 1 species
CGCCAGAGAUGGCUUAGUGCUCGAAAGAGAACCGUAACACAGGUGCUGCAUGGCUGUCGUCAGCUCGUGUCGUGAGAUGUUGGGUUAAGUCCCGCAACGAGCGCAACCCUUGUCAUUAGUUGCUACAUUUAGUUGGGCACUCUAAUGAGACUGCCGGUGACAACCGGAGGAAGGUGGGGAUGACGUCAAGUCCUCAUGGCCCUUAUAGGUAGGGCUACACACGUCAUACAAUGGAUGGUACAAAGGGUCGCCAACCCGCGAGGGGGAGCCAAUCCCAUAAAACCAUUCGUAGUCCGGAUCGCAGUCUGCAACUCGACUGCGUGAAGUCGGAAUCGCUAGUAAUCGUGGAUCAGAAUGUCACGGUGAAUACGUUCCCGGGUCUU